ensembl:lncRNA
GGCUUCGUACCUGGCUGCUCAGAGUGAGGUCUGCAGACCAGCAGCGUCACCACCACCAGCUGAAGAGAAACAACUGUGUUACUACGUUUCCCUGAGGAUGAUUGCGGCCACCUAUUAGACACCAGCACCUUUCCAGGCUCUGGGUUCCACGAGAAAUGAAACCUGCGAAUACGUCUCCCCACACAGCAAAAGGGACCUGGGGAGUGUGAUUAAGUCAAGGAUCUCGAGAUGGGAGAUGAUGCUGGAUUAUCCGGAAGGGACAAUGUCAUCCCAGGGGUCCUUAUCAGAGAGAGAUGGGAGAUUCAGAGACAGAGAGAGAUUUGAAGAUGCCACACUGCUGGAUUGGACAACACAAGGCGGCCGUGUGUCAAGGAAUGGCAGCAGCUUCCAGAAGCUAGAAAACCAAGGAACAGAGCCCCCAGCAGACCUUCCAGAGGGUGCCCUGCUGGCACCUUGCUUUUAGGACUCUGACCUCCAGAACUGUAAGAGAAUAAAUGUGUGCCAUCUAAAGCCAAAGCUUGUAGCAAUUUGUUACAGUGGCAACAGGAAACACACAUAGGAAGAGACAGACGAUAAACAGAUAAUUGAAGAAGAUACAUAUUAUGUCAGGGGAAAUAAGUGCCACGGAGGAAAAGGGUGCAGAGAAGGGGAGAGAGAGUGAGGGACGGG